AUUGAACGCUCGCGGGCUGCUUUACACAUGCCAGUCGCACGAGUGGCGGACGGGUUCGUAAUAUCUCGGAACGUCCCCCGUCGCGGGGGAUAACUACUCGAAAGAGUGGCUAAUACCGCAUACUAUUGGAGCUGCCGAUAUCGGAUUAGCUAGUUUGUGGGGUAAAGGCUCACCAGGGAAACGAUCCGUAGCUGGUUUGCGAGGACGACCGGCCACACUGGGACUGAGACACGGCCAAGACUCCUACGGGAGGCAGCAGUGGGGAAUUUUGGACAUUGGGGGAAACCCUGAUCCAGCCAUCCCGCGUGUAUGAGAAGGCCUUCGGGUUGGAAAGUACUUUUGGCAGAGAAGCGGUAUCUACAGAAUAAGCACCGGCUAACUACGUGCCAGCCGCCGCGGUAAUAC
rnacentral:rRNA from 1 species